UGAAGGAUGUAUCAGAAGAGAAUUCAAGUACAUUAAAUGAUUUUGAACUUGCAUGUUUGACCCAAAUUAUUAUUAUUUUUAUUUUUUGUCCUUCAGUUAUCUGUUCAUUUUCAGCUAUGUUUUGGUCAUUAUUCCUAUUUCAGAUUUUUAGAUGUUCGUUUGCAUUUGUGUCAAAUUCAGCUUCAGUGCAAAAUAAAUCAGAAGAAUGUUCUAUCAACCAGUAUGACCAAAGUUAGAUUUAAUUCCCCCAUUUAAAUGUGGUAUAUGGUCUUGCUUAUGGUGAAGGAGGCCUUUGUCAAUCAUCAUGGUUUAUUUUAAUUAUUCUGAAUAGAUGCUAAAUUAAUUCGUGUUUGAAUGAAAUUAGUUAGCUUCCUCACAUGCAAAAAAUGCAACGUUUUAGGCUUCUCAAUUUCUAUGUUCAACCCUUAAAAGCAAGUUUUGUGGUCUCAUGACCUGUUACAGCCCAUAGCUCUGGUUCAAAAGGAUGUUGAGACUGAUAUGAAAUACCCAGUUUUGUGUGCCACCAGAGGUUGUCGUCGGCUGUUGAAUUUUAUUUGUUAGUAAAGGAUUUGAUUUGGUACUAAGAAUCUUUAUGCUGAAGCUUAUUAUCAUUGCUAGUAAAAGAUAACUUAUACCAUUCGAUAAACAACGUUAAAACAUUCUAAAAUUUUCCCAGCUAACCUGCUCUAGUUAUUUUGUUCCUCAAAAUUUCUAUUUAGGUAAGAUUGAAACAUUAAACUACUUAUUAAGGACAAUACAUAGUCACUCAACCUAUUUUGUUAAUUGUGAGAUUUUAAAAUUGCAGCAUGGAUCCCGAACACAAAAGGGAAUCAAUCGAGAAAUACCAGGGGCCUUCUCAGUCCUAAGAUUGACAUUUUUCUGGUAUUGGUGAACUUACAUGUGUCCAUUUACAUGGCAUUUCGAGAUUCUUGGAUCAUUUCUGCUCAUAUCAUAUGCUUGCUCUCGGUGCCUGGGUAGAAAGCUAAUUCACUGUUGAUUCGUCGUCUAGCUAAAGAAUAUGCAAGCUAGAAUAACUGGCCACUGCUGUACAGAACUAGGGAGCAGAGGUAGAUGUAAAAAGGCUAACUAAGAGGCCUGCUCCUCCUCGAUUUGGUCGCACCUUGACUGAAGCACAAAA